GUAGGGUGCGAGCGUUAUCCGGAAUUAUUGGGCGUAAAGAGCUCGUAGGCGGUUUGUCGCGUCUGUCGUGAAAGUCCGGGGCUUAACCCCGGAUCUGCGGUGGGUACGGGCAGACUAGAGUGCAGUAGGGGAGACUGGAAUUCCUGGUGUAGCGGUGGAAUGCGCAGAUAUCAGGAGGAACACCGAUGGCGAAGGCAGGUCUCUGGGCUGUAACUGACGCUGAGGAGCGAAAGCGUGGGGAGCGAACAGGAUUAGAUACCCUGGUAGUCCAUGCCGUAAACGUUGGGCACUAGGUGUGGGGACCAUUCCACGGUUUCCGCGCCGCAGCUAACGCAUUAAGUGCCCCGCCUGGGGAGUACGGCCGCAAGGCUA
rnacentral:rRNA from 1 species